GACGAACGCUGGCGGCGUGCUUAACACAUGCAAGUCGAACGGAAAGGCCCUGCUUUUGUGGGGUGCUCGAGUGGCGAACGGGUGAGUAACACGUGAGUAACCUGCCCUUGACUUUGGGAUAACUUCAGGAAACUGGGGCUAAUACCGGAUAGGAGCUCCUGCUGCAUGGUGGGGGUUGGAAAGCUUCGGCGGUUGGGGAUGGACUCGCGGCUUAUUAGCUUGUUGGUGGGGUAGUGGCUUACCAAGGCUUUGACGGGUAGCCGGCCUGAGAGGGUGACCGGCCACAUUGGGACUGAGAUACGGACCAGACUCCUACGGGAGGCAGCAGUGGGGAAUAUUGCACAAUGGGCGGAAGCCUGAUGCAGCAACGCCGCGUGCGGGAUGACGGCCUUCGGGUUGUAAACCGCUUUCGCCUGUGACGAAGCGUGAGUGACGGUAAUGGGUAAAGAAGCACCGGCUAACUACGUG
rnacentral:rRNA from 1 species